GUAAUGGGGGUGGGAAAAAGGAGUGAUGUCUGUGAGGUGAUAUUAAAAAUCACUUACAUUUCACAGGUUCCCAUAAAAGGGAGACUUGUGCAAAAUAAUUAAUCAUGCAUUAUAAAUGCUGCUUUUAUUAAAGACAAGCAAAAGCAUAAAUACAGCCAAGCCCUUAAGCACUUGUUCUCUGCAACGGUUAGAAAGUGUUUGGAAAUACAAGCCAACACUUGGGAUCCAGUUUAGCUCUGUUGUUGGUGCUGGAAGAAAAGCUGGGAUGCAGAGGUGGCUUUGCUGCCUUUUUCUUGUCCCUCCUACAGUCUGACAUGGACUGUACUGGAUAUCCACAGAUUUUUCUAUGCCUUGCAGUACUUGAGGUUUAGGAACAGCCCAGCUAGAUCCUCCAAGGAUGUGUCGGGGAGAAGAGCUAUGCAGAGCACUGUUACACAGCUGCCCGUGCCACCGCGGGCUGGCUGGAGAUGCCCCAAGUCAUAGAAGACUAAAAGCUUUGCCAAAGCCCAUUCAAAAUAACCCACAGGGUGUCCCACCAAAGCAGCAGAGUGUUAGGAUAAGAGGAGGGAGCUGUUUUCCCUAAAAGUUCCUCAUGGAGAGCUGGUACAGCACCUUCCCCAUUGCUUUAGGAAAGAUGAAUUUGUUGAUUAGAGUUGUGGUGCUGUUUGGUUCUCCCAAAUCCUGGACCUAAGGAAUGGAAACUUUGAGGGGUCUCUUUUAUUCCCCUUGGGUUAAAUCUGCUCUUUUGAGUUAAGCCUAAACUUUGAAAGAGAGGUGGCGGAACUAGAAGGCAAUGCAAGAAGAAUGUUAAGGGGAGGGGGAAUUUUGUGACAGCGCAGUAAGAGAGAUGAUUUAUUUUGUCCUUCAAGCACUGUCUCUUGAAGGCUGCUAAAGCCCAUUAAAACUUCUGUCUGAAGCUAUGGUGAGAUUCACUCCCUGGAAAGGACAGAGGUUUUACCAUGGGGAGCCAGAAGUGGUGAUGGCUCUGAUUUCAUUAGCAGAGCAGUUAUCUGAGCUAAAAGGGUUUCUGCUAAAUUAUCAGGGGCCCUUGUCGCAAUUGAAGCGCUACUGUUUUGUAACCAAAGUCACUGUCGUUUGUUCGAUUUUUGAGGGUGAGCCAGAACAUCAUAUUCAGAGUCACAGAGCUGUCUUAACAGCAGGUACCAAAGGGAUUUCUGGAGAUGAUCACAUUCGCAAAUCCUCCCCAGCUCCACCUGUGUUAGUCCUUUCCUUGGACUUCUCUGAUGUUCAGCACCCCAAGGUUUAAUAUCUAAGGUUCAACACCAGAUGUAUUCAACCUCCAGAGUACCUAUGGUGCCAAGUUAGGAUGCAGUGUAUAAGCAAGACCAUUCCUUGCAUGUACAAAGCAGAGUGUGUUUCCUUGCUUGUGCUCUGUGUGCAGGUCGGGAAUUAGUCACUGUGCUGGCUCUUCUGUGUGACUUGCAGCUUUUGAAUUGUUUCUCGUGGCCCUGAGCUCUCAUGGUUCAGGGCAUACAGAGACAUGCACGAUGUAAUAAAUACUGGGUAAGUCUUGCAAGAACCCCCUUUGUCAGCGUGGUGUCACCCCAGAAGAUAUUGUACGUUCUGGAAAAGCACAAAUCCUGGCAUUAAAAUCCUCCCAUUCUGCUCAGAUCCAUCCUUUUGGCUGCCAGGUCGUGGUUCCUCCAACUGCAGAGCUUGUGGCUCCAGUUCUGCUCCGAUGACCAGCCAAGAAUGCUGCUGACCCUCACCAUUGCCACGUUCCCGUGUCUGCUCUGAGCCUGAAAACUGGCUUCUCCGUUCGUACUGGGCUACCUCCAGACAUUGCCACUGCCUGGAGGGUCCCCAGGCUCCAGCAUCAAAUUCAGCUCUAAUUGCUUCCUCCUGGUCUUCAUCACCCUGGAAUGCCAGAGGUCUGAACUGCCUUCCUGCCCAUCUGCUGUCUCCAGCCCCUGGAUGAAGCUCUCGUCUGUGUCCCUGCACUUCUUGACUUGUGUAAGGCUGCAAGUGUCUGAAUGGAAUACAAGUUGCUGAUGUUACAGCAUCUGGGGCACACGGGAAGAGCAGGAGUGGUGCAGAAAUUCCUCGUUCUCAAUCUCUCUAGCUGGUCCUGGAACACCAUUCUGUAGGCUUCUAAUUAAAAUCUUCAAAGAAGCAGAGAGGACGUAUGGGGAGCUGAGAACAGCUGAGUGAACUCUGGACACCUGCUCUCCGAUGCUUUCUUUGUCCUCAGCUUCUGUGGGCUGGGGUGUUUGCUAGCUGGUCGCUUCUGAUCACAGGAAGAACAUUUUAUACAACCACUGCUAUUAGCGAUAAUGAGAAUAAAUGAUACAAUAAUGAAAUCUUAUUAUACACUUUUCGAUGAGGGCCUUUCAUCUGAAAGAUUUCCAAGUGCUUUACAGGCUACUGAACAUAGAAAUCAUUUUACUCACCAGGGAAAUUCAGCCAGUGCAGGAACGGUGUGGGGGUAACCGUUGGAAAACAUUCAUUGAGCACGUGGGACAGUUCGGUAGGGGGAGCAGACAUACUGGAUUAAAACAAAAUCGCAGCCUAAAUUUAGGGGAAGAAGCCAGCUAGAAUGCCUUUUACAUGGAGCAUUAAACAUCUGCCCCUUGGUUAAUACCUGUUGUUUGGCUCAGACAGAUAUGAAAUUUUAUGGUCCUGGCUGUUAUUUUCUCAGAGGAGCUCAAGUGCUUGCCUGUCCUUUAAUUCUUGGUGCUGACUCCCUUUGGUUGCUUGGAGGAUGGCAACCCACCCCAGUUUCACAUUCCAUAGGGAGAAGGAAGCUUCUGCAGCUGUGGUCGCCUUUUUAACCCUGCCUGCAAAGAGGAAUCAGUGCUGGCACAGAGAGAAGAGCGUUGCUCCCUAAAAAGCCAAGUCACAAGUAUUUCUCUCCCUCCUGUACUGUGGAUUUUAUUUUCCCUUGAGAUCUCACAUCCAAGUACUGACCAGUGCUUGACCCUGCUUCGUUUAUGAGAGGUCGACAAGAUAAAAAUCCACAGCAGAAAAUUUCCUGAGCAUAUUUAUCUUUUGUAAAAGGGAAAAAAUCAACACAAAACCCUAACCUCUAAAGACACCAGCUGCCUCCUGCUUAUUAAAUGGUCCUUGUUUCUGUUUAUAGAAGUAGAUUGAGUAGGGCUAGCCAUGGUGCUCCCUGUGAACAGGAGCCGUGUGCGUUCCCCAGUGAUAUAUGAGGUUAAUAAUAUUCGCGGUACAAACAUUAUGCAAAGCAGGACAUCCGUUCUGCUGGUUGGCACCCAAGGAGCGAUCGGCAAAGACGACAACGCCAUCCAUCUCCAGGCUCUCUGUGCUCCAUAGCUGCCUGGGCUGACACUGGCCCUGCUGAACGCUGUGUGCUGAGCACAGCAGCCGUCUCCUGAGCGCUGGGCUUGUGUUGAAAGCUGGAUCUGUCACUGAGAACCCAGUAUCUUGAGCUCUUUGGGUUGCAAACAGUUUGCAUUGGUGAAAAGAUUGUGCCUGCUAAUAACACAUGAAGCUCUUGCAAAACCUGUUGCAUCAUGGGGCUGGGUGCAAGGCCUUUGGAAGGAGGAGGGAAGGGAAUUCCCUGCCUUUGCUGCUUUGAUGGUCUGAAGAGGAGCAUAGUGGUCUCUACAGGUCUCUAUAAAAGCCAUGAAAUUCUAGAGGGAAACAAAAAUGAGUAUUUGGGGCCCAGUCCAUGGUGUGCCAUGGUGGACAUGGUUGGACUGUGAGAGCUUAUAGCCUGGAGGAGAUCGCAGAGGGAGCAGCAUUUGUAGACAACUUGAGUGUGACCUUUCCUGACACAGCAGAGGACUGAAAACCCUAUCACAGAUUGACUCAUUCCGCAGGAAAAAAACCUUCAGUCUUACAGGACUCUGGCAGCAGGUGACAGUACGAACGACAGGAAGAGGACACGUCGGGCAGUGUGGCAGCUGUCACCGGAGGUAUUUAAGAACAGAUUAGACAACUCUGACAAACGUGUGAGGUGUUGCAGCAAGUUGAGGGGACAAGAUGUCUCUCAAGUCCUUCCCAGCCCUGCCUGCUGCUGCCUGUGAUCAACAUUGCCGUUGUGAGCACUUACACACUGAGGCCCUUACUUGUCCUGCCGGAGAGCAGAAAUAGUCUGGGCAAUCAAUAAUUCAGAGUAAUUUGUCUGCCCAGGGCGAGUGGAGCCCAGCUCUGGGUACGGAGGGCUGGCUGAGGGUGGUCCUGCACCCACGGAGGGGAUGAGAGCUGCUCUGCAGGCUCUUUUGGAGGCAGAGCUGGGUGAGGAGCUGCUGAAGCCGAUGUAUGAGCUGUUUGGAAUAGCCACCUGCUUUCAGAUAACCAAGUUGGAACCCGUGAUUCAGAGCAGGGACUGGUUACACACGGAGCUCCCUCCCUUUGCUCCACAGAGGCUGUGGUGGGGAGAGCUGCCUGUACAGAUAAUUAACAGCAACGGUUGUUGGGGAGGAAAAGUGUUUGGGUAUUUGAGAGGUUUUGAGUCAGGGAUCACUCUGAAGAGUUCCUGCCUGUAAAUAGCCAAGGGCAAGAUGGAAAACGAGACAUAAGAAACUAUCAUGAAAAUGAUGCCUUAACCCAAAUUUAUCUAGGAUCAGUGCUGGGCUAUCAGAGGGAGCAGUUAUUUGUGUUAGGAGUCAGGAAAGCUAUAAACAAGCAAAGAUGAGUUUAAGAAACCCAAAGCCAUCCAGUCUGGAUUUUCUGGCAGCUGUUCCAGGAGUGGGGAUCAUCAGCAACCCAUUUCCACCACAGUUGGAGGACCGUAGCAUUUCCGAGCCCUUCAUUCCUGCGGUGGAUCUCACAAAUCAGCCAGAAGAUUCAAGGAGUAAAUGACUAAUGCAGAGCAAUAACAGGCUCUUUUUUUUUUUUCCUUAGGAGCUCUAGGGUAAAAAGAAGCUUGAAUUGAUGCAUGUAGUAGAUUAUUUACUGUAAGCUAUUCACCUGCCUCAUCUUAGACUAACUAGUUGAAUGACUUGCUUGUGCUUAAAAUAAGAGUUUAUUUUAACCUAAGCACGUUGUAGAAAGCCUCAAACCCCCCGUGCCGUGUUUGGCUAAAUACAUUUUCUUGGUAUAUAUACAAGGUUCUAAUUGAAGUUUUGUCAGACACUCAAUUAUAUGUCUCUCAUCUCCAUCUCUCAAUAUUUAUCACCCAUUUUCACAUCACUCUAGCCUUACUCUGAGCAAUCACUCAGACUUGGCAUGAUAUUUCCCCCUGAAAUGGAUUUAAUCCACCAAUGAUGGUUUUAAACCUUCAGAGCAUCAGUAAAGGUUGUUUCUGGUUGCCUUUAAAAUGGCUUUUCAGCCCCCGCCUGCCCCUGCCACAUGCCCUUUGCUGGGGGCCCAUUUCCCGGCAUGGCUCCCAUCCUUUGGCUCUGGCCAUGCAGGGACUGGAGGGAGAACAUCCCAUCACACCCUUACCCAUGGGUGGUCUUGGGAUGGAGCCGUUGCUGAUAGAGGUUGCACCGUCACAUCUUGGCCCCAGCAUUGGCCACAAGUGUUUACCCUGUUGCAGCCACAGUUGGGUCCGCUGGAGUUGGUUUCCAUCAGAGAAAAGCAGUGUUUCCAUGAUAACAUUUGUGGCAGCUGCUGGCUUGGGUUUCCUGGGAUAAACAUGUCUUCCCAAGACUCUCCUCCUGUGCCCCAAGGUCUUGGAAGUCUUUCCUGGCUGGCGACAGGACCGUGGUUUGUCUGUGGUUGGUGUGAAGGGCUCCCUGGGAGUGGUGUGAGGGUGACUCCACUCCGUGACUGCACAUUCACCGUUCUCUGGGCUGCUUGAACCUUUGUAUUGUGGUACCAAGUGAGUGGUUCAUCCUCAUAUCUUGUAUGUGUGAAGCAGGGUGCCAGAGAGACAUGCUGGCUGGGGUCUGCAACACUGUUGCAGGACUCAGAAAUGCCAUUUCCAGUCCUGCUGCUCACCUGCAAGUUCUCAUCCUUUGGAGGAAAUGGUGAUUAGCAUCUCUCAUGGCCUAUAUUUUCAUACCAGACUUUAUAGUUCUUACUUAAUGGUGCUUAUAGGUACUCCAGAUGACAGCGGGGACAUGCCAGUGUCCUGGGGAUCAGUGGCAGCAAGGACCCCUCUGUCUGUCUGGGGCUGUUUGCUGUCCCUGGGAGGAGGGGACAUGGGGCAGGAGCUGCCAGGAAGGGCAGCUGCAGAGAGCAAAGAGCAGGGCGAUCUGUGGGCAUCACUGUGGACGCGUGCUGUGUCAACUGUGCUAAUUCAUUUAGCUGAAUGAGAAGCAUUUAUUAUAUGUCGGGGGAGUGUGAUGAAUGGGAGCUCAGAUUUUCCCCUGUAUUAUUUCAGCUCUCUGGUCUGUGGGUGAUUUAUUCAGUAGCAUUUAUGGUGUUACUAGUCUAAAACCAAAGGGGAAAUUUAUUCAACCCUUUCCUGCCUUUCUUUAUUUUCAUGGUCUGUUUAUCAUAUUUGUUUUCUUUAUUUUUUUUCCUUUGGUUUAAAGUCUUCGUUGCUUUUUGGCUAGAUGGAUUACCUUCGUGCAUCAGGCAGCUGCUUUUCUGCUGUUCAGCUCUCCCAAACAAGGGCAGCUUUUCCAGGGGUUUCAAAUGCCCAGCUUGGAUGAUGGGCUCUUUCAGAAAGUCCCAUGUGUGACCGGAGGAGCUGCUGUGCAUCAAGCUUUUCUGGAAGGCCGGCCCCAGCGGCUGCGUAUGGGUGGCACAGAGGGAAGGCAUGUUUGAGCCACUAACCAUAGAUGUUUGACAUCCCUGCUUAGAAGGAGAGAGGUUUCUUCUGAGCGUGAUGCAGAGCUCCUAAAUUCAUCUCCUGCUGAUCAAUCUAAUGGAUUAAAAGGAGCCUAGAGCACAACUCACCCUUUUCAUGGUAAGUUGUACACCGUGAAUACCACUCUGCACUGGCCUUUGCAAGGUAGAACACCCUCUGUACAGGGAGGGUAUAAAAGCAUGAACUGAAACCAAUUCCACUAAGAUGAUGUGGGAUAGAUUUCCCGUAACAUCCUUGUGAGGCAGGAGAAUUACCAUUCCCCUUCCUUUAUUGAGAAGGGAAAUGGAGGCCCAGGUGAACAGCCUUUCUCAGGUUUGCUGAUGAGAGCUGAGAUGUGCUUGAGUUGUCAUCCGUCCUUCCCUCCUCCCUUGGUAUGUGCUGCAUGGGACCUGUGACGAUCUGAUCUGCCUCCCACCUCUCUCUCCUUCACUCUGGGUGAUGGCUCAUCCUGGACUCCGUCCGCCUGGUCCCGCAGCACAGCCUCUUCGCUCUCUCCUUCGAGAAGCUGUUUCUGCUCUGCAGUGGGCUGCAGGGAUUUUUGUCCACACAGAAGAGCGAUGCUCCAGUUCUGCAGGCAGAGAUGAGCCAGUCUGCAGUCCUGCCUGCUGCAGGCAGUCGGCUUCUCUCCUAAUGCUGCUGCUUUUUGAUAGAGAUUCAAUUCAACCAUUUUAAGAUGGACACGAAAGAGCAGCACUGCAGUGCAUAAAAGCCAGAGAGGGACAAAGUAAGGAGUCAGGAUAUGACCUGUUCCUCAAAUUGCUCAUAUUGUUGCUUUGUCUUCAUGUUUCUCAAGUGAAUAAACCAAGGUCGUGAUCAUGAAAAGAACAAAUAAAUUAAAUCCCAGUAUCCUGAAGGCUGCCUGUGUGGGUUGGUUCAGUUAACUUGCUCCAGUGUGAGGGCCCAGUGUCACCUGUCCCUGGGGGGCAGGACCUCCAGUGUUUGGCUGCUGGCUGCCUCCAGAAGUGCAGCAAGCGGACAGCAGUGAAAAAGAGGGGGUAGUUCCAGGAGAAGGAAUUACAUACUACAAGGCAGUGAAAUUUCAGCCCUUCUGAGCUCGAUGAUGCUCUUUGUUAUCCACCUGGCCUAGGAGCUCAGCUGCUGUUCCUCAUUGCAUGUGUGGCUUGCAGUGGAGGCCAAUGAGCCAAGUUUCCACCAAAGCCUGGUCUCUGGCUUGUAGUUUCGCAAUAGGGUUUUGUGGGUGCAAACCAAGAACCUUUCAUUUGAGUCAAAAUUGAAAACUGAAAACAUUUUGCUCCGUGUAGCUUCCCUUAGGCCAUUCAGUGCUGAAUUGCUCUUGGGAACUUGUGCAAUAAAGUGGUUUGGGAUUUCUGAAACAAGAUAAAAGACCUUUCCCACACGUGGGAGAGGAAUAGUACCCCCCAAAAAAAUCAGUCUUACAACAUAUUUGCUCUUUUUUCAAAAACUAUGGUCUGUUUCUGCUUUCUGCUUGCUGAGAUCUGAUUAAAGGCCCUUCACAACCCUCUGUCAGACCAUGCAGUGAGACCUGCUGCUCCCUCAGCACCAGGCAGACCUUUGCAAAAUUAUGAUGUGUCCUUCUGUCCUCAGGUCACUAAAACGUGCAUUAUUUCCAGCCUCAGCAGUCAAAAUGCAAUGAGCUGCUCACGUCCCAUGGCAAAUCCCCAGGCACUGAGAUCUUCAGGCUCCUUCCUGCUGAGUUCAUUUGAGUUUCUCCUGGCUGGUAUCUGCCAGAUGUGGCCCCAAGGCACAUGUGGACAGUACUUGCAAUAAACUGCUUCUGGGUAUCCUCAUAGCAGGAGAAUGCCAAGGAAAUGUGGGAAUGUGAAUCUGGGGAAGGUGCACAAUGCAGGAGGCCACAGCCUCAUGUGUGGGAUGAGCCUCCUGAGCUGCCCCUGGAGUCAGUAGGCAAGGGAGGAGGGGUGUUUGGCUGUGGGACAGUCUGGAAAGCUGGAGGGGGGAAAUUCUCUUUUCCAACCCAUAAAACAGCUGAUUUCUUUGUGGCUGUAACUACCAUGCUGUAACAUUUUUUGUAAAAAUGAGAGACAGCAAGCCUGGGAUAAUCUGAGGAAGAGAGGUUGUGGCAGGGAGGAGAGGGAGGGCUCUUAAAUCCCUCCUUAGCGUUUCUCCUGCGUGCAGGGGAGCAAGCAAAUGUCCUUGUUACAGCAUUGCUGACUAUGCUAGCGCCUCAUCUUUCCAGCAAAAUAAAUAGAAGAAUAAAAUUAAGCUGCGAGGGAUUGGAAUAUUUUGUAAAUAACAAUUAAGAGACAAAUCCAUUUUGCUAGGCAUUCCUAAUUGUCUCCUUUCUGCGUGCAUCUGGGUUAUCUCUUGCAGAUAAGCAGAAGGGUUGUGCGUGUCUGUGUGUGCGUGGCGGGGGAGUCACGGAUGGGUUACCCAGGGUAACCCAUGGGUGCAGCAGGUACAGGGGCUCCCUUGGGUACCCAGUACAUUGGGGUGUUCGUCCAGUCCAUCUGUUGCAGGGCAUCUUCCCCGGAGCAGAGCUGUGUGUUGUGUGCAGGUCACUGUCCAGGAGAUGGCCCAGGAGGAGCUUUGGGCAGGCUGGUGCUUGGAUGCUUCAGUCCCCAAAGCCAGGGUAAGCAAAGGGCUCCCUGUUGGCAUCACUCUGCUGUGGGGAAGACUCAGCAUCCUCCUCUGCACAGAAGUCUCGCAGGUGCAAAGCAAAGUCUCCUCCCAACUUCUUGUGGGCAAGAGACCUUAGGCAGCAUUUGAGCUCAUUGCAAAGGGUAAAAGACAAAUACACUCACCACCUCCCUCAUCAGUCCCAUCCUGUGUAUAAUUUACGAUACAUCGUGUUACACUUUUAUUACUACACCAUUUCUCAAGCUCUUGGCUGGCAGGGUUCUCAGAAGGCAAUGCAGGAAGGCUUUUGUAUUGAGACCUUAAACAGGAGGAGCGAUUCCUUGUGAGCCUUUGUGUCUAUAUGUGGAUUUAACAUGCAGUUCCUAAAAUAAGCUUUAAUAAAAUGUGGUUUUGUGUGUUAAUAAUUUCUAAGGCUUUUUUUUUUUUUUCAAUGGAAUUGAUACUGGAAAAAAAGGCUCAAAAGAAAUAGUAGAGGAAAUGAGAGUCACCCCAGUCAUCUGCAUAUAAUUGCUUCCAGUAUAGAUUGCACUUGUGUUUGAAUUAUAGGGCAAUUAGUCUGUCAGGCUGGUAAGUAUUAUACAAGACCCCUGGAAUUUCCUUGGAAGCUCUCAAUACAUCUAAGCCUUGAAAUCUAGAGAGGUUUUAAUACAAAAAGAUGUGGUACUGGGCUCUGCUAAUACCGUGUAUUGAUUUACUGCCCAUAGCAGAUGUUACAGGGCAGCUGACAAAUUGGUGACAUACAAAUAUUGAGGCCCUUGAAACAUGGUUCUGGAGUGAGACUUGUGCGGAUGACAGAAAUAGUUCUUCUCAGGAACAGGAGCUUCCCUCGCAAUAAAUAGCACAUGCUGUGUGCAUGUGCGCGCAGGAAAUCUCCCCUCGCUCCAGAGGCAGGAGCCUGGUCCCAGUGCAGGGCUGAGCCACUCGCUCCUCAGAGCUCCCCGAAGUGUGGCUGGCAUCACACUAGAAUGCCUGAAUUAACAAAAUCUGGGAAGUUUUGGUGGAAAGAUAUAUUUAAUGCCUGGCCUCAUUCUGACAUGAACGAUAACAUAAGUGCCAAGGCAGGUUAAAAAUAGGCAGCAUCUCCCGCAAAGUUCAGGAGACCUGGAGCUGCAGGAAGAAAAAUCCAGCUCAGAAACAGAUGCUGAGGGCAGGGACUGAGUUUAUUUCUUCUCAAAAAAUGGUAUUUCACAUCUUUUAACACAUAUGUCUGUAUGAGGUUCGUCUAAUGUAUUAGUAGCAACGGAUAGAUUACUUCUUAAAGCUUUCUCUUCCUGGUAAUGGACCAGCUUAAAUCCUGCCUGGGCUUGUGAGUGACCCUGCUUGCAUGGCUGGAGUGGAUCAUUCAGAGCCUCGUAACAGGCUUUGCAGCACCUGAGCAACCUUCCUGAUUUCUGCGGUUUCCUCUAUUGCUUGUCCCCCUGCCCUGUCUCAUCUGUUCCGAUGUCAAGCUCUUUGGAGCAGAGUUUCUCUUUAGUGUAGCUUCUGGCACAGGGUUGGGCCUUCACUUCAGCUUGGCUGUUUCUAAGGCACUGCUGUAAGGCUCACACCAUAUUUGCUUCUGGAGCUCCUGUUCCUUGUCCUUUGCUUUAUCCAAAUUAAUGUCCCACUCUAAGCACCAAGGCUUCAGGCUCAGCUCUGAGCACUUAGCACGACCGCAGAAGGCUCGUUCCCUCCAGUCUGGGGAGGCUUCAUGUGAGCCAUCAUAAAUAGCCAGUUCUCCCUUUCUGUUUCUCUACCUGCUGCCCUUGGGAAGAGACCUCCCAAGAGCAAGGCAGAGAGAAGUGCGUUCUCUGCUCUCAAGCAGUAAUCACACUGGCAAAGGGAAGAGAAGUUCAACAUCCAGCCAGGAGUCUGAAGGAAAGCCUGCCCAUGUGCUGGCAGGCUCCCAGAGACUUGUCUCUGUCUGCUCCAAGGUGUGGACAUGAGGGAUAUUUAGUAAGAGUUGUUGCUGGUGAUACUUGCUAUUAGUUUUCUGCUCUAGGA